rnacentral:tRNA from 1 species
GCCACAGUGGUCUAGCGGUUAGAACGCUGGCCUUGUAAUCCUGGGGUCUCGGGUUCGAUUCCCAGCGGUGCCC